GACGAACGCUGGCGGCGUGCUUAACACAUGCAAGUCGAACGAUGAAGCCGGAGCUUGCUCUGGUGAAUUAGUGGCGAACGGGUGAGUAACACGUGAGUAACCUGCCCUUGACUCUGGGAUAACUGCGGGAAACUGUAGCUAAUACCGGAUACGACCCUCGGAGGCAUCUCCUGGGGGUGGAAAGAAUUUCGGUCAAGGAUGGACUCGCGGCCUAUCAGCUAGUUGGUGAGGUAAAGGCUCACCAAGGCGACGACGGGUAGCCGGCCUGAGAGGGUGACCGGCCACACUGGGACUGAGACACGGCCCAGACGCCUACGGGAGGCAGCAGUGGGGAAUAUUGCAAAAUGGGCGCAAGCCUGAUGCAGCAACGCCGCGUGAGGGAUGACGGCCUUCGGGUUGUAAACCUCUUUUAGCAGGGAAGAAGCGAAAGUGACGGUACCUGCAGAAAAAGCACCGGCUAACUACGUGCCAGCAGCCGCCGUAA
rnacentral:rRNA from 1 species